UCUCCCGAUUAAAGGAUUUAUUUUUAACGUAUUAUAUUCAUCGACGUAUAGAUAUCAUACGCAAUAUGAAUAAAUAAAUAGAUUUCACGCUAUGCUAUGCUAGCUUCAUUGCUAUGUUAUACGAUACAUUUAACAACGUCUUAUAGUAUACUAUUUUUAUAAGUAAUCUAUUUUUGGAGAUCCCAUUGUUUUUCUGCAUAGUAAAUUUAUCGAGGGGAUAAAUGCGAAAUUAUCAACUCUGAACACGAAAGGAAAACAUUACGAAACUGUCUGGCGAUGAGUUUAAGUGACGUCCACACUUCUUAAUGGUCACUUUAUAUAACAAUUCUACGCCACUCAAUAUCUCGAGCGAACCACUUGCUUCUUUGGCACUAAACGCAAACGCGUACAAUAUUAUUCUGUUUGCUUAUUGAGUCUACGUAAAUGCACCACGGUAUUCCAGACGCGUAAUUCGUCGUGCAUGCACUGGCUGAUUGUAAUUAAUGAAAAGAAAGAGGUUCCAUGGUAAACGGAAAAUCACAAGGAUAAAUUUGAUUCGAUUGAUUAACGCCUUAACAGGAAGAUUUGCUCCUUCGCUGUAACAUCGUGCGUGGCACCAUCGUCGACUCGCUUUGAUGCACGUGGAUAAUCAAUUCCGUUGUUCGAGGAACACUGCUAACAGGGAACGCGCUACCACCACGAUGAUAGCGCCACUUUCAUGGCCGAGCUCAGGUCAAGGACCGACACGUUCUUGCCAAACGACUGGUUGCGUUAAGGAUUCUGCAAUGCGGGGGAAUUAACGCAACGACUGCCGACGUCGACAAACGCAAUUUCCCGUCGCUGGCGGUUGAACAGCACCGUGACAUAUCAUAUCAGUGGAACAACGUGAAGCCGUAUCCUUGGACGAGUUGGCUAAAUAGACUGUUUAUAGAGUAGACAUAGCGUUUUGAAUGUUCUACGCGUCGCUAAGAUAAGUAGAACAAAAUCGAUUUUGUCGAAGAACGAUAUAUUUUGAUCGAGGUUUCGUGAAAUUAAUCUGACAGUAUGACAUUGGCACGAAGGAAGUUCAUAAUCGACUUCAAGGGAAUUGCUUUGAAUUUACCGCAUUAAUUUUCUCUUUUCUCGUGCUUGAUGCUAAUUUGAAGCUUUUUUGUCGCAUGUGCGAUAGUUUGGUUAGAGAAGUUGUGUAAAGGAAAUUAGAUUUUUGCCGAUGAUAAUGGUUAAAAGUUUCGUAACUUGACUGAAGUUUUUCUUACGUAUUGUAGUUAUUUGCUUACAUCAGAUUACGAUGCCGUGUUCGUUCUACGCGAUUCCAAUAAAUUUUACAUUUUAAAUAAAUUUUACAAAUUUAAUAAAUGUUAGAUUUUUAAUUUACUUCGACGCUCGCAUUACAGCGAACGAUAUUAUCUUUUAACGUAUGAAUUUCCCAUUCUCAUUUUUAUCAACUUUCUUCGCUUGGCUAAAAUACUCGUGUUACUUACGCGAUCGUUUAACGAUUAUUUUCAUCGUUCCUUAAAAUAUCACCCACUUCGCACAAUAUUUUUCGCUUUCGUUUCGAAUAAAAUCUUCGUCGAUCUUUGAUCUUUCAUAUUCGAUGUACACGACAAUCUAACGAUUAAUAUCGCGAUACAGUACAUCAUCGCGAAAGUUUCUAGUAGAAACGCUAAUAUUCAGCGUUCUGCAAUGCGUCCGAUUCAAAUGUCGACGGAGAAAGGCGGGUUUUUCGAGUGUCUGGCCGUGACCCGUUUCGAAUUACAUAAGUGAGAGCCGGCUCUAUCUUGGCCCCAAAGUCGACUCGACCAGGAUCGAGCGAACGAACGAACGAACGAACCAAACGUGCGGGGUGAACAUCCAGACAAGGUCAGAGUCAUACGAUCGAACCACCAGGAUGCACUUGCGGUGCAGCCUGCAAAAUGCGCAUCUACUCGAUUUCUUCUUUCCUUUCUACUCGCGUGCACAUGCCUAUCCCCAGACGUAGCAUCGAUAGCGUCUUUGUUUGGCUGGACGGAUAUCUAUUUUAAUUCUACGGAACGUCUUCGUGCCAGUGAAAUUAAACUGAAAUUAAAGAUGUUCCAGUAUUUGGUAGAUUCUGAAAAAUGUCUGAAACUUAAACCGAGUGAAAUUGAUUUCUUUAAAAUAAGCUGAGAACGUGAUUGUCCAUACGAAGCUACUGGUUGAUCCAUAAGAAAAAUAUUUUUCAAACGAAUUGAAUUAAUUUUUGAAGAAGUUGUUACUAUCAUUUUGUAUGUGAUAGCAAAUUUUGCCACAGAAAAUCUAUUAAUUAUUAAUUACUUAUUAACACUAUCGACGAUCUCAAUGUGAUUUUAUCGCAGUCCAUAAAUGCUAACGAAUCCAUCCAAUAUUGUAAUUUCGAUCGAAUUGAUAUUUCAACGUUACUAUCGAAACGUGUCCGCUCGUUCGCUAACGAGGAGCAGUUCGUUAACACUUUCUCGUUGGAAGGCUAAAAUAUGCAAUCUCGAAGCAUAUCGGAUAAUUACACACGGCGAAAAAAUGAAAACCAGCCGCAUUAACGAAACUAAUUAAUUCGAUAAUCUGACCACGAUUGCUCUGCUUUUCCACCGAAGAGAACCUGAUCCGAAGUAAUUCCGUGUUGAUAGAAAUACGAUGAAAAAUCCGAAGAACGAGUUCGUAAGAUCCGAACGAGGGAAUACGACGACGACAUAAAAAUAUAUUCGUCGCGAUCGUUUUCAUCGCGUCACGUUCUGAAGUCUACUUGUAUUUAUAGAUUGUCUCGAAUUAUUCUGAUUGAUAUCGGUAUUCGAGUAUUACAACUUGGAAAUAUCUGUCACUUGCGUAACGUGAAGCCACGACUGAACCAUGUAAUUCGAUUUUCACAGCCACCCAGCGAUGAUAAAUUCGCGUAUUAAUACAAUAGAAAAGUUACGGCUCCCUUUGAGAAAUUAAUUCCCUCACUGGUGAAAGACUUUAGUUACGACACUUUACAUUCGGGAGACCGGCGUGGUAUGCAGCCAGCACGUAAUGCGCAAGAAAAUUGCGAGUCGCUGUCGCUGCUGUUACUCGCAAGAAUAUGAUGUGGUAAUCCGCAUGGAAGAAAAAGAAAGCGCAUUUAGAACAUUUACGCGAACGUUAAACUGUAGAACGUGGAUGAUCGGUGUUUUAUAUCAUAAUUGUGCCUGAAUGACGUGAAUUGAAUUCGAAUCCGUAGUCGAAUAGGUCAAUGGUUUCUCCGAAUGAAUGGAAAUCGAAGAGUUUGCGUUUUAUGAAAGGAAAAUUAGGGAUCAAGAUAUAAAAAUACUCGGUGUUUCUCCGAUUCCACGUGGAAAUAAAUCGAAUACUACGAAUAGACUAGGAAUAGACUAUUCAUGGUAGACGUAACAUGACUGUAAAUUUGUAUUCCAACCACAGGAUGCAUACGGAAUGCAUAAAAUAUCCGCAGUAGAGUACGUCUUAUAAUUCUUAAUAAGCAAGUUCCUAUUUCCUAGUGUUAUUUCCUUAAUCGUGGGCAUAAAAAGAAUAACAAAUUCGUAUAGAAAUCUAUACAAUCUAAUUAUCAAUGUAUUCGUGUCAUAAAAUUUCUUUUCGACGUACAGCUACCGAUAGUAAGUUACCGUUGGACAGUGCCAAUUAUGAAAUUUGGCAAUCAUAAACGUUGUUAUAGCAGGCUACAAGCCUAAACGAAGCGACUAACGAAGUAAACGUCAACGUUGACACUGACACGCUACUAAUGGGACAAAAUUUAAAAUAUGCGAUUAAAACGUCUGCAAGAUUUAACAGUGCGAUCUGACAGUUUCGGUUCGUGAUUUUCUUUUUUUUUUUUUUCUCGUGCCUCUCAUGGGAGAACGACAUUUACACUGGACUUCGUAAUUGAAACUCGUAAAGUCGACGCACGGAUUUGUCCUGAGGUUCUUUAAUCGGGUAACCUUACGUAAUAUGAUCCAAUUUAGCGCGAGUUCGUUCGUUCGGUUUGUUCGUUCUCCAGUGGUACACGGCGGAGUUAAACGUACAGAGCAAUUCUCUGGUCUCACUAUCACCGAGGAAAUCGGCUAAGAAAUCCGCAACCGCGUAAAAACUAACGUUACCACGCGGCCUGUCAAUGUAAAUUUAAUUCGACUGGCGUUACAUCGAGAAUCGUGAUAGGAAAAGCACACGGUUUGACGAUUCGUGAAGGUGGUUUUACCAGACAUUCGCGAGACAAGUCUCACCGGAAAUUGAGAAAAUUUGUAUGCACAUUUUGACAUAUGCGUUGCUUAUUACAUAUACAUAUAUAUUGCUAAUACUUAUGCGAUGAAUGGCAUCGUAUAUUAGUUACACAGUAAUUAUUAUUACGUAAUAUAUAAAUUGAAAAUCUAAAUAUUAAAAGAGAUUAUAUAAUAUAACGAUGUUAGAAGUUAUCUUAGCUAAG